UUCAGUGAGGUGUCCGUUAAGGGUCCCUUCCAACUCAAAUGAUUCUAUGAUUGUAUGAAACACUGGCAUGCUUCUGAUUCCAUGUGUGCUCCCUUCGCCUCCUCUGUCACACCUGCUUAUGUUUCUGGAGCUCACGGUUUCAAAACAGAAAACAAGCAAAAACACACCAUGUCUGAGGGAAAGAAGGAACUUUGUCAAGCUAGAAAAAGAAGCUAAUACUGAAGCAUGGUCAACAUGCUCCUUCAUCUUAGCAACAUACAUCUGUACAUUCUCAAAUAUCCUAGGGCUUUUUCAAUGCCAAUCUUUUAAGAUAUUGUUCUGCAAUUUCUUUUGGUGAGUCCAAAGGAGGUGGAUGAAGCUGUGCCUGGCACAGCUGUCUGCCCAAGCACACUGAGCUACAAAAGCAGGAGUUUGGUGCUUGCCUGCCACAAGUAAAAUUAAGUCUUCAAUCUUCUGCAAUUUCAAACUGAAAACCCAAAUCAAUAAACCUCUCAGUUCUCCUUGAACUACAACCUAAGAGCAUAGGCCAAAAACUCUAUGUUAUUCAUUUAUUUUUCCUUUCUUCCCUGUAGGAAAGCUUCUAAGAAUUCAAUCUAGCAGCUCAAGCUUAAUUGCUCACUUUGAGACAGCCCCAAACUUGGAGCCUUGUCUGACUGAAGGGUUUGAAGGAACUCUAAUGUAUUUGUAACAUCAGUGCUCAGAAGAGAAUUUUAAAAAAUUUAUCUAGACUCUUUCUCUUCAUAUGCAAACAACUGGACGUUAAUAAAUUAGCAGCAAAAUGUAAGACAUUCACAUAGUUUAGAAAAUAAUGAGGCCUAUAUAGCUGUUUCUCUAAAACUUAUUAGACUUGAAGGAUUCAUCUAUAAAAUCAACCUUAAUUGUCCAGAACCAGCCAUCAGUUAGAUUUGGGAAUACAUCAUUCCAAUUGAUUGCAACUACAGACAUACAGCAAGUGACAAAUACCCCUGCCAAGACUACUGGUUCUGUUCCUAAACUGUGACUCCCUUUCUAACUACAGGCCUAAUUUCUGCCAUUUCCUGGUGCCCCAUUCAGGCUCAGUCCUUCCUGGUGGGAACUGCUGCCCAGAGCCACAAAGGAUGCAGGUGACCAAGCCUCGAGUGUUGGCAUCUGUUCAAGCCAAAGCUUCUCUCUUUGAAAAAUGUUAUUUAGGCUGCAGCCAACUCCUGCACUAACAACAUCUCUAUCUCCUAAACGUCGGCCAUGCAGACAGCUCUCUGGUGAUGCUGCAAAGCAAUUAAGAGAACCCUGUAGAGCCUGGGCUAAUUCUGUUUCACUAGAAACGUUCAGACUGCUGAACUGUGAUGGGGUGGAAGUUCAACGCUAUCAUUAGCCAUGUAUGAAAGACAACUUUGACCUAUUUUACCCCCCACUCUAGUUCUGUAAUGAAGGCAUCAAGAAUUCAUUCCAGGGAAAGAUGCAAGACUGGAACUCUUCCUGCAGAAGGAGAUACUUUAGUUCCCAGAGGAAUACAUCCAUUACCCAACAUUUUCUACAACUGGCUCACUCAGUUCCUCCCUUGUUUCUGUAAUAUCAGGGACUCCACCACCUAUAGAGCAUGAAGUCUGAAGUCAGGACUGGAGAUUCCUCUGUGACAGCAAAGGUCCUUAAGACAGGUCAUAUAAUACCAAUCACAAGGCUUCUGUCUUUUGAAUAUUCAUCCCAAAGUGUUUUGACAAGCAGAGAAAGUUCUUAAAUAUAGGCUGAAAGUCAGGCACAUGCUCCAGUGCACAACAAACAGAGCUAUUUAAGUUUGAAAUAAUGCAUUUUGUGAAGCUCUGAUCCAGAAAACCUUCUUGGAAGUUUUGUGUGCAAAUGCUGCACAGCUCAGAGGAUCACACUCAGCAGUAGCUCUGACACUUCCCAGUGUUCCUCCACACACCUCAUUCAUUUCCUCUGCUGUCAGUCAUUCAUGCACCAGCUUUCCCCUCUCACAAAAUCAUGUAGAGGUUUUUGUUUUCAUCAUCCCUCAUCCUUGGCUUUAGACAGGACUCUCACCAGAGGAAUGAAAGACUUCAGGAGCUGUUUUUUGCUUUUUUGAUAUGGUUGAAAUUUGUGCAUUCCAAUACCUACGAAAGGAGAGCUCUCCAUCAGAAAACACAAUAUAGACUGUUAUUUUUAUUCUGUUGCAUCAACACCUCAUACGAGGCUGUUUCUCAUUAUAAAUGAUAUAGUCCCACUUGAUUUUCCCUUUCCACUCACUUCUGCAAAGACCUUUGGUAUCCAAGUACCAUUUCCUAGGAAUACACACCAUCACACAGAGCUCUGCCAUGAUGAGACUAACUGUACCAGCUGGCCUAGGAAAGCAGUCAGGUGGAUUUAUUAGCAUUCCUGAUGAAAAUUGUUUGUUUGUUUUCCCCUCUGUUCCCUUCAGAUUUCUGAUUUGGUUUAUUUUUUCUUUAAUCUUUUUUUCCAAGUCUGAUCCAAGGCUUUGCUGAAACGAGCACAAGCAAUGGUAUUUAAGAUUGCAGACAUGGCUAAUGACAGCAUUGGCUUCUGCUUAACUUCUUUUCAUUUUUAACAGCCCUUGCCCUGCAGGUAUAAAAAGGGAAUUAGAGCCAUAAGGCACAGCUUCAGAUUUGUUCUCUUAAUUAGUUCCUGCCAUGGUGGAUUAAUUCCAUUUGCAAUGUGUUGCCAUCUCUGCAGAAGUUUAUUGUAGUGGAAUGGGGGAUUAAUGAGGAGAGUGGAUGCCAAGACACGCCAGCUGUCUGUAAGCCGCCCAUAAUGGGAUCAGCACAGAUGGUACCGAUGCUCUCCUUAAGUAUCACUGAAGGUGAGGAGUUUUUUCCUAUCAACCUGACACAUGCAGUUACUCAUCUGCUGCAGAGAAUAAAAUGAUAGAGCUGUAGCUCUUGACUCAAAAAGAGCAGGCAGAGGAGUUGGUUGUCUCAAGAUUCUCUCUCCUUUUCUUGAAGACGUGGAUCCAUAACACUAUGUAAAAAUCUCUCCCAUAUUAUGGCAAUUGAAAGAAGGGAGGGAGGAAUCUAGGAAUGCUGAAACACUUCAAAAGAAAUCUGGAGGUCCCAUUAUUGCACUGGCUUUGUGGGAUAGAGCUGGAGAGAGAAGGCUGUGGUGAGAGCUGUUCUUUUGAGAAGAGUGACCCAGGCCAAAGGACUGCAGGCUCUGAUUCAGUCUGGGAUAAGGACGAUCCUUGAAACGCCAUGGGUGGUCUCCAAGGCAGGCUCUGGGGCAGCUCUGGUGGGACACAGAGCUCCCAGGAGAACGGGACGCCUCCUCAGGAUGCUGCCAGUGCUUUCUUCUACACCAUCUUGCAAUAGCAGACAUCACUCUGCUCCUUAUUUCUUGUCUUCCAUUCCUUCUCCUCCCCUCCUUCUCCCCUGCCCUUCUCCCUCCCAUAAAACAAGAGCUCAAAAAUGGAAGACAAAGGCAACAAGGUUUAUGAUUGUUUUUCAGACGUGAACAAAAAAGUUAUCUCCAGAGGAAUGCCUGCUCUAGUCACACCUGCAGCCUAAUAACUGUCAUCCUCCAGAGAGACACAUGCUGUAAUUGAAUGGCACCAAAAUGCCAACACUCCUUCAUUAUUUUUAAUAUAUGCCUCCCUUCUGUAAACCAACAUAUCAGAAUCAUAAGCAUUAAGAGCAAUACCUUAUUUCCAGAUGAGUUUUCCUUAAGCUAAGAGAGCAUCAAGUCGCAUUUGUGUCGUUCAGUUAUUUUUGAAAGCCUUGGCUGGAGCCGGGGUAGAAGUCCAGCUGCGAAGAAUGGGAAAAAUACUUCUCUUUUUUAUGGAUUCAUUUGUCUUAGGUUUUGAGCUGCUUGAAGACAUUAGAGUCCAGUUCCCUAGCAGCUGGCUGUCCUUUUCACCUCAAGCCUUCCCCCCUACAUCAGCAGUGGCAAAUGAGCUUUUAACUCACACCAGUUGACAACCAGCAAAUUGUGUAAAUCCAGAAUAUUAGAAGCACAGGCGAUGGCAGAAGGAACAGGUCAGCCUGACACUGGAAGGAGAUAUGUUUUGAGCUUACCUUGGUGUGAAGAGGAGCUGAAGGAGGUGGGCUAACUGCAGGUACCAUUAACCUUCAGCAUUAACUGUGGGAAGUAGAACUGAUGGUAGAAGCACUACUGUGUUAAAUGGAAGCGAGGAAUCAGUUCACAUUCAUGUCAGCAAAUGCGAUCAGGACACAUAGAGGUAAGGUGAUUUUGCAUUCUUUGGUCUGCAGAAGAGAUUUUGCUCUAUGGAGAGGGCGCGCUAGCUUUGCCCUCUCCAUCCCAUCCAGCUCCCAUCUGUGGAAGAAUCAAAAAAAACGUCUUGCCCCUGAGGGGAUACCAGCUCCCAUGCACACUACGUGAAAGAAGCCAGAUUUUGGGACACUGAGUGUGCUGUUAAAGAGACUGAGAGGCAAAUUAAAGUCACGGCACCACAGAGUUCUGGGAAAAUGGCCAGUAGGAGCAGAAAAAGAAGCAAAACCACUCUGCAGGGUCAUCUUUCAUGAGAAGCCCUAAAGCUAAAGCAUGUGCAGGGGAUCAGGGAUUGGAACUGUGCUGAGCAGAGGAGGAAAAAGGCCCAACUACAGUGAGCUGCAAGAAGCCUUGCUCCCACCUCUCGGGAACAGCAAGUCUGCUUGGUCUCACUCCCCUGCCUCAAGCUUCUGCUUGAAGUCUCCAGUGCAAGAGCUCGUGAGCACCCUGCCAGGUGCCAGGACUGGCUGCACUGUGUCAAACUACUGAAUUUUACUAGCAUCAAAUAUUUUUCAGACAAUCAGUUUUGUAUGUGCAUGUCAGUGCUGAUCAUGUUCUCACCAAGGAAUUGUCAAAAUAUAGCUGUUUGACUCAAUUACCUCAAUCAAAUAAAAACUGUUUAGAUAAAUUAAGUGAAGU